rnacentral:rRNA from 1 species
AAUGAACGCUGGCGGCGCGCCUAAUACAUGCAAGUCGAGCGAGAAGACGUAGCAAUACGUUUGUAAAGCGGCGAACGGGUGAGGAAUACAUGGGUAACCUACCCUCGAGUGGGGAAUAACUAGCCGAAAGGUUAGCUAAUACCGCGUACGCUCCUUGGACUUCGGUUCAGGGAGGAAAGCGAUACCGUGGGUAUCGCGCUCUUGGUUGGGCUCAUGUCCUAUCAGCUUGUUGGUGAGGUAACGGCUCACCAAGGCUUCGACGGGUAGCUGGUCUGAGAGGACGAUCAGCCACACUGGCACUGCGACACGGGCCAGACUCCUACGGGAGGCAGUCAGUAAGGAAUAUUGCGCAAUGGGC